rnacentral:snoRNA from 1 species
AUCCCUUUUGGUUCGUAAGUGAGUCAAUAGGGUGUUCAUGCUGUUUGAGAUGUGCCUCACUCCAAACCUCGUUAAAACAUCAGCAUAUACGUGUCUAAAA